GACGAACGCUGGCGGCGUGCCUAAUACAUGCAAGUAGGACGCAGUUGCGAACGGGUGAGUAACGCGUAGGUAACUGCCUAUUAGAGGGGGGUAACUAUUGGAAACGAUAGCUAAUACAGCAUACUAGUAGAUGGACCUGCGUUGUAUUAGCUAGUAGGUAGGGUAAUGGCCUAACUAGGCGACGAUACAUAGCCGACCUGGGAUGGGGGACGGGCAAACUGGGACUGGGAACCGGCCCAAGAUCCUACGGGGGGCAGGAGGAGGGGAUCCUUGGCAAAGGGGGGAACCCUGAACGGGCAACGGCGGGGGAGGGAAGAAGGUUUUCGGAUCGUAAAGCUCUGUUGUUAAGGGAGCGGUACUUAACCAGAAAGGGACGGCUAACUACGUGCCAGCAGCCGCGGUAAUAC
rnacentral:rRNA from 1 species